UGGGGAAUAUUGCACAAUGGGCGCAAGCCUGAUGCAGCCAUGCCGCGUGUGUGAAGAAGGCCUUCGGGUUGUAAAGCACUUUCAGCGGGGAGGAAGGCGUUAAGGUUAAUAACCUUGGCGAUUGACGUUACCCGCAGAAGAAGCACCGGCUAACUCCGUGCCAGCAGCCGCGGUAAUACGGAGGGUGCAAGCGUUAAUCGGAAUUACUGGGCGUAAAGCGCACGCAGGCGGUCUGUCAAGUCGGAUGUGAAAUCCCUGGGCUCAACCUGGGAACUGCAUUCGAAACUGGCAGGCUAGAGUCUUGUAGAGGGGGGUAGAAUUCCAUGUGUAGCGGUGAAAUGCGUAGAGAUCUGGAGGAAUACCGGUGGCGAAGGCGGCCCCCUGGACAAAGACUGACGCUCAGGUGCGAAAGCGUGGGGAGCAAACAGG
rnacentral:rRNA from 1 species